CUCUCUCUCUCUCUCUCUCACAAAAUAGGGUUAAUUACACUAGUAGUCCCCAACCUUUCCACCAAUUUUCACCUGGAUUCCCAAUCUUCUUUUUUUUUUUGCAAUUGAGUUUCUAAUCUCUUGGUUUCAUUUCAAUUAAGUCUCAGCCGUUAAAUAUGUGUUAAAAUUGACGAAAAAUACCACGUCGGCACCAUGUCAGCACGACGGAGACGCCAUGUCAGCGCCACGGUGACGUUGUGUCGGCGGAUUGCAAAAAAAAGAAAGGUUAGGGGCCAAAUUGAACGACGCUGACAUGGCGUCACCGUGGGAUCCCCAAUCUUUCUUUUGCAAUCCGCUGACACAACGCCACCGUGACGCCGACAUGACGCCUCUAUGGCAUUGACAUGGUGCUGACGUGGCAUUUUUCGUCAAUUUUAACACUUAUUUAACGGAUGAGACUUAAUUGAAAUGAAAUAAAGAGAUUAGGAACUCAAUUGCAAAAAAAAAAAAGGUUGAGGACCCAAAUAAAAAUUGCUGGAAAGGUUGGGGACGGCUGGUGUAAUUAACCCCUCAAAAUAAAAACUCAAAACCAAAGCCCAAUUGGAAACAGCUGUUUGCAAGCCCCCGACAAGACUUAGUGAUGGACAUAUAAAACCUCAAGCUCACCAAACACACUUUGUUGAGGAACUUCCUGAUCUACUAUCACCUAUAAAUUUUUAUCUCUAUUCAAUAAUUCGUUGAGAUAUAUUCUUAAUAAUAAAAUUCUCAAAAAUAUUUCGACUUUAAAGGAAAGAAUUAUAAUUUCUCAAUAAAGCUAAAAGUAACACAUAGUGACAAAUUAAGGUUACUAAACAAGGUAUCAUUAGGGGGAGCUCCGAUUGAAGUUUUUUUCCGUGAUCAACUGAUGGUGUUGCAUGUUUGGUGCUUUUGCAUAUUUAUUUAUUAUGCAACAAUUCAGAAAAGACAAGGAAAAAAAAAAAAAACAAUGCUAUUCAUAUGUACAUCUCAGAACUAGGUACACAUUUUACAUCUCGUUCAUUCAAAAUACUUUAUAUUCUACUUUUUUAUUAAAAAAUUUCAACUAAAUAUUCAAAAAAAAAUUGUAAAUACUAGGAUACACAUAUGAGAUGUAAAAUAUNUCAUCAAGAACAUUUUGAUAGGACAAGUGCUCCUAUCCUAUUAAUAGGAUAGUAGCUCUAGCAUAUAUAUAUAUAUAUAUAUAUAUAUAUAUAUAUAGUCCAGCUACUAUGCUAUUAAUAGCACGAAGCACUUGGUGCUAUCAAGUUUUCUACCGUUAGAUCUAUCAUUUUGAUCAUUUUCACCAGCUAGAUCAUAUUAUUUAACCAACCAGCCACUCAACCCUAGAGAGGUCAUAUUAUCCUAACCGCACAUCUCCUAAUCUAAUGGUGAAAAAUUUGGUAGCACCAAUAACUUAGGUGCUAUUAAUAGUAUAUUAACCUAGUUCUAUAUAUAAUAUUUUUUAUAGGAAAAUGCUGUUUAUAUACUCCAUAGAGGUGUAUAUCUUGCACCCUCGAAUUGGUGAAUCCAAGAGCUCAACCGUGAAUAAAUGUGAGGCACAAAGAGACUAGGAUAUAAACUUUAUAUAUAAAUAUUAUAGGGCGUAGGCAUAGCGUUGCUCGUAUUUUGGUAUCUUUUACCAUAUCUCGUUGCUUCUUAAUUACGAUGUCUCAUGGUGUAUUUUUGAGCUAUAGGAUCCGAAUUAAGUGCAUUUCCUUGCUUUAGUGUAAGUACCUUAACUCACCUUUAAUUAAUUAGCAGGCAUUAAUUCAGGUGGCUUAGCGACCUUUCACUCUUUUAUGAUUUCUCAUUAAUAUAAUUUGUACUUUAACUUCACUUUAAUUAGUAGGCAUUAAUUUAUACGGGUCUUCGACUGUUAUAACUCUUCAUUAAUAAAAUUUCGAAGAUGAUACCUCACUAACUCAUGGAGCAAAAACACCAUUUCAACGUAGAUGAUUUGUUAUCUUAGUUUAACAAGGAAUUGUAGUCCAACAAUUGAAGGAAAUAACCAUAAAUAUCUUAACAAAAUAUAUAUAUAUAUAGAAACGUGGAUAUAUAAAUAAAUAACUAAAUAAAUAACCAGCUUCCACUUACUACUACUAUGGAAGGACAUUAGUGGGGCAGGUGAAGAGACUGGUCAACAACACAACACAAAGAAAAUAAAAAAUAAUAAUUGUAAUAAUAGUAAAAGGAAAAAAGAAAAAGAAAAAGUGAGGGCCCAAAUGGUUAUGUGGAUACAAAGAGGCGUGACCGAGUGAAGGAGUGGGUGCUAAAUGCUAAAGCUUACGUGGGAUCUUUGAAUCUCACUGCAUUUUGAGCCGUUCUUUCCUCUGCAGUAUCCUCCACCGUCCAUUAAUUCUUCCCCCUUUUGAUUGAUUGAUUGAUUGAUUGAUUAAUAUAAUAUUUUCUACCAAAGUUCGAUAAACUUUUUUAUAAAUGAUGCCAAAAUAUGAUCUUCUGCAUCAGGAAGUUCUACCGAUCAGACGUUAAGCAUUCGCAUUCGGGUGUAGCGUCAAUAAUAAAAUUAGACGAAAUUACAUGAAUACAUUUCGACUAAUUAAUAAAAUUAUAAUAGCCCUAAAUUUGUCUUAUGAUUAUUAUGAGCUUUAUUAUACAAUAUGACAACACUUGAUGGACAAAUAAAGCAGGCUUUGUACACAUUAAAUUCCGCGGUUUAGUAGUGGAAUAGUAAUUUUUCUGUUCUAAGAAGCAACAACAAGGAAUAAAGCAACGAAAAUGCCUAGGCCUCGAUUCAAUGGAGAGCUACAAAUACUCCAUAUAAUAUGCUAAAACUGUUCUGCCUGUAACACUCCUAAAUGGUGAGAACCAAAAUUAAACUUAAAACUUCUCGUAAAGCUCAAGAGAAAGCAAUACAAUUUUACAUGCAAACCGUCUAUAGUUGGAAAUAAACUAACGCAGUGCCUGGAUUGUUCUAUUGUAAAUGUGAAUUGAUCCGAUUCAUUAACGUUUAUGUACAUCAUUGGUGAAGGUAGUCCGCUUCAGAAGUGUCGUAACGAGAUCGCCUAUUUGUGCUUAAUCCACACAAAUCCGUGCUCUCUACAUCUUUCGCUAGCAGAAACUCACUAUGCCAAUCCGAAAACAGCGAAGCAAUGUGCAAUCAGCGGCUGUCAAAUUUGGUCAAAAAUGAAUAAGAUUUUCUAGUUCGCGUUCACGAUUCAUUUGAAAAAACCAAAAUAAGAUGCUAUCCUACUAGUAUUAAGACGUAGCAACCGUAUAAAAUAGUGAACAAUACGACAAGGAUUCAAUUCGCACAGCUAUUCUUUUUGUUUUUUCCCUUUUCAUCAUGCGGCCUAUACUGUACCACUACUACAUGAUCAUAUUAAAAGAUUCCUAUUAAGCUAGCAUGUCAAUGUGAACUUAUACGGUGAUGCUUUCUAAAAAAUUGUUUCAUAUAAACAGUAUCGUAGGAACUUUUACCUAGCAUGUCAAUGUGAACUUAUACGGUGAUGCUUUCUAAAAAAUUGUUUCAUAUAAACAGUAUCGUAGGAACUUUUACCUGUUGUGAUGUUGACGCAGCGCCAAUGAGACAGUGAAAGUAGUACUCUAGCUUUUAUUAGCAUCAUAAUUGAGAUUUUAACUGGCUUCCUCCACCCUGUUCCGCACAUUAUAGGAGAUAAGCUGUCAACAUACAGAACUGAAAGAUAAGGCACUACAUUGCAGAUACUGUUCGGGGAAAAUAUAUACCUGUUCGGAGAGUAUUAGAACCGCAACUAUUAAUGGAUAAUAACAUAAAAGGGACAAUGUUAUACGUAAUAUUUACAGGCUGCCACAAGUUUCUCUCAGACACAACCGCUUAAUAUAUUGAUCAUGUCUCCCAGAAUGGAGAAAACAACCUACAAAACAUAAAUGAGGAUCAGUUAGUCAACAAUGGAUUCAGUUAUAAUAUCUGCAAAUGAAAAUAAGCUUUCUUAUAUGAGAAAUCUUAUGAAAUAGGGAGGACAUCACAUACCAUAAUCUCCAAAGUCAAUUUCGCACAACUCCAUAAAUAUUUCUUUGUGGUGAUACAUCUCAUGUAGGAACAAAAUGAGCUUAACAGAACAUAAUUGGUUAUUACUUUGUGCAUCACUUCCCAUGAGGAUAAUAUAUAUACAGUUGCCAAAAGUUUAUACUCGUACUGAAGAGACUUAUACAACCUCGCUUGUGGUGUGAUCUUCACACAUCCUGUCUAUAGUCAAACCAUUUCACUUUCAGCAUCUCUGAUAUCACUUUAUCCAUGCUAUAAUUCAUUUUAUUGAGGGCCGCAAAGAAUACUUUCUAGAUAUUAAACACCCAUCUCUAUGUACAUUUUUACAGGAAGUUCGCCGCUGAAGCCCAACCUCUUAAAGAAGUGAAAUUAAACGAAAUUCCACAUUUUGCCUCACUGUGCAGCGAAUAGGAGAGGCAAGAAGCAACGAGAGAAAUAUCCUACAGCUUCUAUUCACAGGGUUCAUGUUUCCUCAAUCUUUUCAAAAGCUUAUCUAGUGAUGGACUCCAGUGAAAGGCGUACACGCUGCAGUAGCCCUUUAACAUUGUGGAAAUUGAAAUCGAUAACUUCUCUUAUGGAGAUGAUGCUGUCAGCCCCAUCCUUUUCAUUGCUGGCAAUAGCCGCAGCAAUAGCAGCCUGUGAUUUUCUAGUAGCUUCGAAUGCACAAUUCAGAUCAUUUGUCUGCAAUCAGAUUAAUUCAACGAUGAAUCAAUUCUGAAGUAUCCAGUAACCAAAACAAUCAAUAAAAUUGCACUACAUAAUUAAAAUUGCCUUUCAUAGGAAUAACAGAGAGGAUGACGAUAGUGCAGGACAAUGAGCUCAAAUGCUUGCUUGGCCUUGCAGGGCUUUUGCAGCAAGCGCUUUCUUGGGAAGAGUUAAUUGAAGAAGUACUAACAGUUUUUCUAUCAGAACCCCCUAUUAAUAGCGGGAGAAGUAGCUUCAAAAUGAAGCUUCUACUAUUGGGGCACAAAAACUCAUUGUAGCUUUCCUACCAGAGAAAAAGCUCCAGAUAUUUAGUUUGCCAAACACCUAGCUAAAGCUUCUCAAAAUAUAGAAGACAUUCCGGAAAGCUAGAUCAAAUAGAAACCAAGCAAAGAAAAGGAAACUUCCAAAAAAUAGCUCUUCGAUGGUUCAUGCAAGAUAUUUAUAUUAUGAGCUUGACUUAGCACAGCCCAGAACGAAAAAGAACUGAAAUCAGCCACUUCGCAUAAAAAACGAACUAUUGUUGUAUUACCAAAAGUUUUAAAUGAUAUAGAUGUAUCUUGGACCAUAUAAAAAUUAAAUAGAGCAACUUACAUAAGCAAGCAACCGGAUCAGAUUGUGAUGGUUACGAGUAGCUACAUGAUUGCCAGCAACUUGAGGAGAAUUUACACCCUUGGCAGCAGAAGCAGCCUUACUUGCUGUACACUGGUUAUUUAAAUUAUCUACAUCUGAAGCAGAGGAUGAUGGAGACUCUCCUGCAAAAAUAACAGAUAGCAGAGAGAAGUAAGUCAAUGGGAAAAGCGGUGACACAUUGUAGGAAGUAUACAAAGAAACGAAUGCAGUGACACAUUCUAGCAAGUAUACAAAGAAACAAAUACGGAAAGCCAACAGAACAUGUACAACCUGAGAUACUGCAUCAUUGUUCUUGUUACUAGAAAUACUUUUUAUACAUAAUAAAACAAAACUUUUCUAUAUAAAAACCUAAAGACAAUGACAAUUCUUUUGGCGAAUCAUUAUUUGCGGUUAACAUUCUGGUGUGAUGCAGUUAAAGUUCGAGGCUGAAACAUUCAACUUGCAUCAUUGUUUGCAGAUCCACUCCCCAGUUUUCUACAAUCACAGCUUUUUGCCGAUCUAGUACCACAACUGAUACAAUGAUUAGAGAUAAAGCAGUAUCCACUACCAUUCUAGAGCAACAAACAAUACUUAGGGGCCCGUAACUGAGAACAAACACAAACAAUACGAAAAAUCUCAAGAAAUGAUGAAUAUUCAACUAACCUAGUGUAACCAUUUGUAGGGCAGCUUGCAAUUCAUGUCGAUCUUUGCUUGCACCAGGAUAUUUGUAGUAUGCAGCCUUCAUAUAGGCCACUUCAACACACUUAUAUGCUAAAGCAGCAGCAGCCAUUUCCUUGCAUCGCUCAUAUUCAUGAGCACAAAACCUGCAAAAGCAACAGAGCCAAGUAUGCCCAUUGUUGAACACAUUAGAUGUGCACAUAACCACAAACAAGCAACCUCUAGAAAAAUUGUUUGGGUAUUUUUCUACUGUAAGACAAGAUUGUAAAUAAUAGCAUAUCACUGUAAAAAUGUAAAUAUGAGCAUACCAUCCUAUCCUUCUACAGGAAGUGUGUGAAAAAAGUUAUAAACCCAGAUUCUCUCCAUCAAAUAUUAGUACAUCCUCGACAAUUUUCUUGAUACAUCAAGAUUCUCAAUCUUCUAGAGUAAGUCAUCAAGCAACAUGUUAAGAACUUCCAUUCAAUCUUGUAGUAUAGGUUAUCAAGGGAUUGAACACUACUACUUGUUCCAACAUUCAAGUGUUUUAACUGAAAAGGAGGCUCUCAUUUCAAGCAUCAUAUAGAUUUUAUUUAGCAAAAAGAAAGAACUGCCACUGAGUGGGUUCCUAAAUGGUACUUGUUGCUGAUAUGCUCACACAUCCUAGGACUAACCAAUCAGCCGGAACAUAAAGCAGCAAGUAUGCAGAGAAUACUGGCAAAAAAUUACACAUAUAUAUGUUCGAUCAUCUAACAACUAAAUACAGUAUUAAAAUUGAACCGCAAGUUGCGAGACUGUCAGUUGCUUUCAGCCAAAUAACAAAGUACUAGACUUUUAGGCUAAUAAAACACAGGAGUUUAUUCAUGCUAACAUUCUGCAUUGUUGUAUAUGUUAUAUAGUACUUGCAGUUUGUAAUAGUGAAAUUACUAGGUUUACUGUUAACUUAUUUACAAAUCAUGUUGAACAGAGUAAAUUUUAUAACUUACUCGCAAAGUUUUGCAGUUUCUGAGUACAUCUGCAUGGAUUGAGCUGUAUCUCCUUGCUUCGAGCUAUCAAAACUAAGGGGCUCCCAAAGAGAAGCAACAUGUAAAAAUUUUAAGGCGGCCUCAAAAUAUAGGCCCCUACCUUCUCGUUCCUUUCCUUCAAUCUGCAAAAUGUCACAUGCUCAAUCUUUUGUUAAGGGAAAGUUCAAGAUAGACAGUUAAUUAAUUCACGAGAAGACAAUGUCAACCUUCAAACGAUUAGCUCUAUGCUUCAAAUCUCGAGCUUCUUUCAAGACAAUAGCUGCAGCAGAAUGGCCAUCCUUCCUAAGUGGACUUGAAGAAUCCUGACCAUUAAGUAACGCUUGCCUCAAACUGUUAUGUUGAACUCCAUUUAGAGUACCAGGCUUUCCAUUUGGAAUGUCAGGCUUUCUUGAUUGUUUGGCCCCUUUUGAUGAAUCAGAAUUUACAACAUCAGUGGAAUAUAGUUCUGCUCUACUAGCCUUGACAGGUGAGCAGGCCAUUUGAGAAAAGCGGGUUUGUUCUUCUUGUUUAUUUGCUCUAGGUUGCAACUUGUCUGUUACAGAUGGUAAUUCUGCUUGACCAUUUUGAUCCGAAAGCAAAUCAAUUGAUAAUUUUUCAUCUCGGAAAGAUGGUUUUAUUUUCAGGUCUUCAUGCACGUCAGAAUUACCACCUUUUGCUUCUGUAAAAGCAGCUCUUGAGUCAAAAUCCUUGUGCUGCUUAGAACGCAUGGAAGGCCUAUAUUCCUCCAAACUUUCUUGGGUUCCAGAAUUCAAGUGAUUAUCCCUUCUACCUACACCAUAAUAGUUCCCCAUAUGCUCACGUUUCUGCAGUAAAUCAUGCUGAUCUUUCUCCCUAACAUCAUCCACCUUUUCUUUUAAGGUUCCAGAAACUUCAAAAUUACCUUUGUCAACAUCAGAUUUAUAGUUUCUAAGUUUGUCCUUGGAACGUGAAAAAGAACUUUUCCCCGACUUUUGAUGACUCAUACCAUCUGUUCUUCUAUUAUUAUUCGUCUUAUCAAAAUCCUGAGCAUGCCUUUUAUCUGGGGUUUCAUGAACGUAGCUGCUAUUGAUAUCUAAUCCACCUACAACUUUUAUCUUUUCAGUCUCGGAGGGUAGCAGAUCAUCAUGGGAAGCCCUUUUCAAAUGUAAUUCGCCAUCUGACCAUCUUUUUGGGUUACCCACUUUACAGGAAACAACAUUCAUAGCUUCAUCCUUCAUGAUGGAGUUUUUGUCAAAGAUCUUCUCAGCAUUAGAAACUCUAAAUGGGGAUGAAGAAACUGACUCUACUGGAGAGCCUCUUUGUUCCUGAACAUUAACUUUACUUUUGAAGGAGCCGGAAACUUUCGAAGAGCUCGACGUAGCUGCUCCUGCAGAAGCCUGCGCAUAAGCCAUUUCCCUCUUCAAAGAAGAGUCCAUGGCCUCCAUGGUCCCCUUUACUUCAGACCUCGCAACUUUUGAUGACUUUUCCUUUGAGACCUUUCUCACAAAUGAGGCUUCAUUAGCAACAAUAUGGCUGUCCAAAAGCUGCUGGCUGCCAACGUGAUCAUCCACAUUGCGUUGACUCUCCUGCCACUCUUUCACUUUCCUCUUCUUUGCAGAAGGCUCUGGCUUAUUUCCAGAUCUUUCAAUGUCGGAACUGCUAAAGAAGUCUACGUUCUCCCUAUUCGAUAAAAUUUGGUCUCCAUAUUUUAACCUCUUUGAAGAUGUAGAUAGAUGGCCUUUAGAAACAACAUCACCAUACUUCUGUGAAGAUCUUGCCAUUUGUUUAGUCGACGGAACAGUACUUGCAAUUGGAACUGUCUCUUUGUCUAGAUUUAAGUCUGGGUGCCAAUCAUCAGCAGAUUUGUGCAGGUCUUCUUUCUUAACUUUUUUAGAUGCUCUGAUAUCAUCUUGAUCAACCACUCUUUUGCUCUUCAAUUUUGAAUGCUUUCUACUCUUUUCAAUUAGAUCUCCUGUUGCAAGGUAAAACAAAUAGUUAACGACAAUGUUGAAAGAAGUAUAAGACAAAAUGCAUGAAGAAAAGCAACUAAGGGCACCUCCAUCUGGAUGAAUUUCCAGGUUCUUGUGCUUCUUGGGCCUGGGCUUUUCCUUCUCUUGGGUGAAGUCCAACGACUUGCUCUCAAGACCCACGGCAGUUUUGCUGUUUUUCAUAGAGACCUGAGGGUUCUUUUUCAGAGAAUUUGAAACCUGCAUUAGGCUUGACUGAUUGGGUAUUCCAUCCUUGGGGCCAUAUUUCUUCCUCACAGAUGUGCCCAUUGACAGCAUAUUAUGUUCACUUCUUUGAUUAGACGGUUGAGCACCGGCCAUAGUUACGCUUGAAGCAGGAAGAUCAUGACGAGCAUCUAAAACAACAGCACUUUCAGGGGCUGGAACCAUGUACAAUGCAUUCAGAGCUUUUGUUGUCUCUUCCUCGCUUAUGUUGCAACUAUUCAUUCCAGGUCUAUAAAAGAGUUUCAAAUAUUAAAACGAGGACAGUUUAUGUGCUGCAAAAGCACUUUUAACUGCGGUACUUAUAAUUCGAACAAUGAUGAGUCAAUGGCAACAAAACCACAAAAGACCAAGAAUUUCAGAAAUUCUGAAACAGCAACAAGAUAAUAGAAUUCCAUAAAUGUACCUCCUAAAUUUCAGAUGUCAUUAGACAUAAAAUGUAAACAUAGUUAACUAAUAACACCUACAAUUAAUAUGCAUAGAGAAAUAGCAAGCGCAUAGGGGAAAAAGACAAAAAUGAUUAAGCAUAAGCUGUCAUAACUCAAGUGCACUUCAGAGAAAAACUUACAGCCAGUUAAGCAAGCUACACUGCCACUUUUUUGGAAGAUGAUCUGGGUUGGUCCCAUAAGGUAAUAGACGCCAUUUUUGACAUAUAUCGCAGCAUACCCAAUGUUCCUCAAUUACAACAGGAGCAGGGGCCGGAGCAAUUGCCUCUAUAGCAGUUGAAGCAUUUUGUAUUAGCCUAUUAUCAAAUUCCUUAGAUAUUGAAUUAUUAUCAAUCUUUCUACUGCUUAACCAGUCCCUUGAUGUUUCCCCAUGCAUGACUUCCUUCACAUUUUCAGCCUCCAUGGAUUUUGGCUUACUUUUUUGCUGUGAAUCUCGCAGAUUACUUUCAUUCUCCAAUGCACCACUCAUGACACCUCCAUGAGAUUCUUUCAAGAAGUCACCACUCAUCUCUUUACGGUAUUUAACUUUAGGCUGCUUUUCAGACUGAUCAGUUCCUGCAUGAGAGCUUUUCUUCUUUUCUUUUACUGCUUUAGAGGACUGAACACCCUGGUUGUCCUUCAAGAACUCAACUGAUGAUUUACCAUUCAUCUGACUUCCCUCCUGUUUACCUUGUAUGUCAAAAAAUUCCUCCUUUCCUUGCAUGACCUUUUCUCCAUCUUGUUCACAUGAAAUAGUUCUGUAAGUUUGAUCCUUCCUACCAUAAUACAUCUCAGAAUCAACUUUAGCUGUAUCACCAUAUUUCUGUACUACUUUGUUUUCUCUUUGGAUAUCAAUCCGAGAAUCUUUGUGGCUAUCUGUGAUUCCUUCCGAUGCUUUAACUACUUUGCUUAUUUUUGAGUUCAAUUUCCCCUUUAAAUAAGCAUCCCCAUCUUCCGGAUUGUCUGCCCCCUUUCCGUCCAUGACGCUCAUGAAUUCCAAUUUAUUUUUUGGUAAUUCAGAGGUGCUUAUCCUGCUUUUGCCAGAAGCACUUUCCAUUUCCUUCGAGCGACCUAACAUCCCACUGGCACCCUUUGCUGAUUCAUCAGCCAACUCAGAAGAAAUCUCCUCUCCUUCAACGGAAAGUUUGGCAUCAAUAUCUCUAUUCAGAGUUGUGCUUAUGUCAUCUAAGCAAUUUGAAUUCCUCACACCAACAUACCCCCCUUUCUUUUCAUCAGGCUUUGUCUUCUUUGGUGCAUGGCCUUUGGCAUCUUUUGCUGGGAGAGUUAAAUCAUUUAGGCGUUCACAUGGUUUAGAAAUAUUCUUAAAAACUGUGCUUGUUUUAGACUUUUUUAAGAAAUUUGUCGCUUUUUCUGCCAAUUGCAGCACAUUUCCUUGAAGUGGAGAGACUAAAAACCCACCAGGAACAGAAAAGCACGUCAUCAUCUGUUUAACAGCAAAUAGAAAGAAAUAUAUAAGCUACUUAAAGCUCGGGAAAUAAAUUGGGUAAACAUUUGGAUACUCCCUGCGCUAUCCUGAUAUUGCAACUUAGCCUUUGAACUUUUCACUUAACACUUCAGCCCCUAAACUUUCUCAUAUACUAAGAUUCCAUCCUUGCCUGCUAAAAGGACCAAGUUUAUCAUGCAAAUCACCAUUUACCCUUCUGAAAACGACUUUGUGCAUCGGUGAAAUUAAAAAGUGUUAAACUGGUUAUUUCAUAAUAAGUCCUGUGGUGAGGGACAGUGUUUAUGCAAGAAGUUCAGGGAUUGGUCUGAAUAUCAGGAUAGCAUACAUAUGCUACAUGCUAUAUCAACGGAGGAACCAAUAAGUGGCGAAGAUUUACCUCAAGAAUUGUCCGGGGCGAUUCAUCAUCCAUGUCUCCAAAAUCAGGAGAAAGCUCCCCGCUCCCCUCAGCACUAUCGUCCAGCGAGGAAGAAGGAGAAAUAUCAAGGCCCAAACCACUGUAAAUAGCAGCAUUAUUUCUUGCCAAAGCGUUAUCAGAGCCCACUCUGAUGCGAACUUUCAAUGACUUCUGGUCACUAGUAUUAACAGAUCUACUUGGAGCAGACUCCCCAUUAUCCUUUUUCCCCGAAUUUUCCGUAGAAGAUAUGUUGUUUCUAGAAAUAGAUGCACUCUGGCAGGAUAGAACAAGCAAAUUUCAACACCAUAACUUGGGUGGUGUAUAUGAAUCUUAUGAUAAAAGGACAAUUUUAUAGGACUAAGCAUUACAAAAUAUAAAUUCAAAAUAUAAACAAAUCUACCUCCGACGCCAGGUUGUAAGGAGAUCUUGAACCAUUGUGAUUUGGUAUUUUAUGUGGGCUUCUCGGUUGGGGCAAAGUUAAAGGUGAACGCUGGUAAGUGGGCAAAAAUGAGCCAUAUCCUCCAAAUUUUGGCCCUAUUAACAAAUAACUAAUCACCAUUAUUAUCUGACAAACUAUUUGAAGUAGCUUCUUUUUCCUGUUCUAACUCUUACCCAAGUUCUCAGCGGAGACUCCGCCCUCAAAGUCUUUCUGGAAAUGUCCCAAUACAUCCUGAAGUUUUUCAUCCUGAGAGAAAAACGCAAUCACGUUCCGUAAGGGACAAUAUUCUCGACCACAUUCCGUUUGAUUAGUAUACACGUGCAAUCCAUAUGCAUUGCAAACACCUAACUUUAUUUUACUUUGUGCACAUACUUGCUAAUUUUGUGCAGGCAAAAGAAGGUGCUAGUAAUAACUAACUUCCGCACUGAUGAUCAAACCUUACUAAUCGGGCCCGAAAGGAAACUAUGAUCUCAGAGAACAUGCAAUUUCAAAGGCUGAUCCCUCCCUAAAACAAAACUAUAUGUGGAGAAAUUAUCAAAACAACAAAAGAAUAGAGUUCCAGUAUAUCUCUCAGUUGAAACCAAUGUUUCCGCAAUUAGGCCAAAUCCUGUAAAUUGUGACCAGUAAAUGAACACCACCAGCAACCGACAAAUCGACGCAACGAACACUAAGAGCCGUAUUCAUCAGAUGCAUCAAGUUAUGUGUUUAUCGAACGACAAAAUCAAAUCUUUCGGGUAAUAAUAGUGCCAAAAGAUCAAAAUUUUGAGAAGGCCUUACGAGGUACGAAAGGGCGACGUCCGGGUCGACGCAGGAGACCUCCUCCGGUCCGGAGCACGCCUCGCCCUCCUCGAGCUCGUUCUCCUCCAUCUCCUCUCCCCCACCAAACCCCAACCCUAACCCCUCUCUCCCAUCCUCCCUCCUCCCCACCGACAACAUCCAACCCCCCCUCCUUCCCNACCCCCACCCCCACCCCCACCAAACCCUUCAAUCCCAAACUCCUACCCAAACUCCCCAAUCGGUUUUCUUCGUCUUCUCCAACGCAAACCCUUGAACCGCCUCCCGAUCGGCGGAGCCCCGCGAUCGAGCUCUCGCCGACGAGUCCCGGAGAUCCGGGGCCCGAUUUCGCGCUAUCGAUCGGUGCGAGAUCGAUCACGAGAUCGCGAUUGGCGAGGGAGAAGGGGGGCGCGAUCGAGCGAGCGACCGAUCGAUCGAUCGAGGGUUUCCCCAGCCGCGAUCUUUUCCCUUCUUUUAUUGCGUCUUCCUCGCUGUGGGCCUCGUGGCGUUCUACCGCCGCGGAGAGAGGAAGAGAGAGAAAGAGAAAGAGAGAGAGAGAGAGAGGAGAGAGACAAAAAAAUGGAAAAUAAAUUAAUUCGUUAUCACGUUCCUUCUCUUAUUUCCUUGUGCAUUGUAUGGGCACUACACCGAAUCCUUGCAUGGACCACGUUCACCGCGUCAUCCAUGGACCUCCGCGAGAUCCACCCUCCAUUUUGGUCCUUCCAAAAAUCGACUCCGUCUAGUUAAUCUCAAUUUUAUAAAAACUUAUAAAUUUUUUUUUUUUUUGGGGGAAGUAGAGGAGAUUCGAAGGAUAUUAGAGUUGGUCUACGGAUGACGUGGUGAACUCUAUCCAUGGAUUUUUAAUAAAUAAUUUUUCCUUUUUUCUUUUAUUUUUCGUUAAUUUUAUUUUCUUGUUCCGCUUCGGCUGUUGGGGAUCUACAGCAGUUCUUUCCAUCCCAAAUUCCAUAGUACCCAAUAGAAAAUUGACACGUGGCCAGAAUUGGUAUCUCCUGUUUGAACGCGGAUGUGCGAUGCGGGUGUGGCGCCGUCUUGCCGUGUGGGGCCACGUGGCAGGGGGCCGGAUUGGUGGCGUGUGCGAGUCUCAUACACUGUUCGCAAAAUCUUAUCGGACGCUUGAUCAACGAUCCAGCCGCUAAAUUUCCAACACGUGUCACCUUUGCUGGGGACAUUGCCAUUCGACUAUAGAGAGCUUUAGGGCCUAUUUAUUUAAGUGGAAAUUAUUUUCAGUUGUAAAUAAUUAUUUUUAUUAUUUAUUCCACUGUUAUAAAAAAACGGUUGAAACUCGGAUUGUCCAAAAUAGAUUACAGGCCGAAGUUAAUUAUAGUGAAUAAAUGUAAAAAAAUAAUAUAAUAAUAUAAUCAGUGAUGCUUAUAAUUAUAUUUAAAUAUAUUUAAUUACGGUACUAAUUACUCUUUUAUUUAGUUUGCAUAUUUAAAACAUGAUAAAAUUUGAUUAGUUAUGAUUUAGUAUCUGUUCCCUUUAGUCUGUACAUUUAAAAUAUGGUAAAAAUUGAUUAAUUAAUUAUUUAUAUUUUUUUACUUUAUAAUUUUAUAGUUGUAUUAUUAUCAUUUAUUAUAGAUUUAUAGAUAAAAAUAUUUUAGUUGUUAUAAAUUAAUUUUUUUAAUUAUAUUAUAAUUAUUUUUAUUUAUUAUAUUAUAAAUUAUUAUUUAUGUAUAAACUAUAUUUUACAUCGUUCACUUUUUAUAAAACAAACAAAAGAACUAAAAAAAACUUUAUUUCUAUAGCUACAAAAUAAAUAGUAGAAAAAAAUAAUAAUUUUCGUCGAGCUCUACUUCAGCCCAAAGUUCAGUUUCGAUGAAACAGACAUGCGUACAUUACAAUUACAAUAAUUUCAUAACUUCACCUGCUAAUUUAUUAUGUAUGAAACAAAUUAAUUUAAAUGUAAGAUGCUAUCAUUUUAUUUAUUUUCUAUUAAAAAAUUAGCUAAAAAUAUGAGGCGUUAAGCUUUUUCGUCACUUGUAAUAAGAAUGAUCAAUUUGGUAGGCCAAGUUUUUGUUGUAAAACUUUAUGCGUUUUGGUAAUCUAGAUUAGGGACCAUAUUUUGUUACAUUAAUUAUAUACGUAAAAUAAAUUUUGCACACGGGCACGGAACGAUAGAAGUAACUGCACCAUUGAAUUAUAGGACUCGGUAGUAAAACAGGUGUGACAAAAUGCGUGAGUUUCAGUUGUACUCUUCAAAGAGUACUAUGGAAAAUUUACUACACAUGUAACUAUUAACAAUUAUCAUAAAUAUUUAGUUAAUUUCCAGCUAAGUUUAUUUCUAAAUGAAAUAAACGAAGCGGGCAGCGUGCUUGCUAUCUAUCUCUAAAAAAAAAUAAAAAAUUAGUUCAUAUAAAAUUUUCAUAAAUUAUUUAUAAACAUUCCUAGUUUAAUUUUUUUUUUUAAAAAAAAACCUGAUGCGUAGAAUUUUAGGAAUUUCUAUCAUUUCCAAAUAUACUCGUGCUGUUAUGAUUCGUUAGAAAAAUACAGUUUUUUUUUUAAGAGAUAGAUAACACGCUACUCGCUUCGUUUAUUUCAUUUAGAAAUAAAUUUAGCUAGAAAUGUGAAUCAACGAGAAUUCGAACUUGAAUCUCGGAUACCAACUAUCAAGUCUUUUUGCCACUUGCACUAAGGACGGUCAGUGUUAGAAAAAUACAGUUAACCAUAGAUUCUUAGUUUCUUACUAAUGUAACAAAGAGGCGUCGAGGACUAUUAUGACCAAAAUGCCCUCCAGGAGAGUUGUCAGAGACUCAGAGGCCAUAUAAUUAGGGGCAAAAGAGUCAUUUCGCUGUUGCUUCCAACUGAUUAGGAUGGAAAGGGGGGCGAAUUUUCCCGGGGGGGUUGGUGGGCUUUUUGGGCUGUCCUGCUUUUAAAGGCGGGUGCGGUGUCGACGGAACAACACGUGGGGGUUUUGUCGGAUCCGCGUCGUUGAAGCCGCAACACAGCAAACAGCAGACGCCACCGAAUUGGAAGCCGGCACGUGUCCUUUGAAACUUGAAUAAAUACCGGCUUAUUACCCCGCAAUUUCAUCCUUAGUAAAGCUUGUGGUCGCUUGACUGACCACGAACCGCAUCAACGAACCUUAGCGCGCCCAUCCUCGACAGUUCUGUCUCGUCCUUCUCCUCCUCGGCUUCGACAACGGUCACUUGCUUUUUUUUUACUUUAUUUCGAUUUGGGCUCGUUUUCAUCUUUGUUCUCGCACGUCUUUAGUGGUUUACUAUGAUCGUCCUUGGUCUGCGCAUAUUUGGGCAAUGUCUCGCCAGAGUUCAAGAGACUAGUCAAUACAUCUCCAAAAACUUGAAAAAAGAAAAAAGAAAAACCUUUUCAUAUAUAGAAUUAGGUUGGAAUACUAUUAAUAGUAAAACAUUUUUUUUGCUAUCGAGUUGUUAAUCCUUGGAUGAAAAAUUAUAGGGUCAAGAUGAUAUUAGUCGGUUAGAGUUGAGCGGUUCCCCUAGGGUUGAGUGGUCCCCACUGGGUUGUAGUAUUUAAUCCAAUGGUUAGAAAUAAUGAAAAGAGUUGAUCAAAAGGUUAAAAAACUAAUAGCAACAAUGGGAUUUUGCUACUAAUAAUAGCCCAGUCCAACUCUUCAUAUAUAUAUAUAUAUAUANAGUUUUUGGUCUGUUUGGUUCUUAAAAAAUCUAGUUUUUUUUUAAAAAAUCUCUUUUCAAAAUUUUUGAAAAACAGUAUUUUGAUUUUUCUAAAAAUUCAAAAGAAUAUUAAUUUGUCAUAAAUUUUGAUUUUUUUUUCAAAAAAGCUAAUUUUUUGAAACCAAAUGGACAGAAAAUUUAAAAAAAUAGAGAUGUUUUGUUUCAUGAAAAAAAAAAUGGAAAAUAUUUUCUACACUUUUCCGACGAACCAAAUGCCCCCUAAUUUUAUCAGUCCUAUAGUAUAGAUAAUUAUAUUAUUUCAAACUUUAAUUUAUUAUAAUUUUUAAUUUAUUUUUAAUUAUUCUACUAAGUCUUAAAACACAGCUUGAUUGAUUAAAAGAUGAUAUACAGUUACACCAGUACUAUACUUAAUGACACACAGUAUAGUAUGUAAUAAUUAAAAUAUUAUAUUAUUAACAUAAUAAAUUAAAAAUUGAAAACUAAAAUAUCACCAGCCACAUAGUUUAAAACAAAAUGUUUAAUUUAACCAUAUAAUUUAUGAGAGUACCUUGUACAUUUAAAAAGUAUUAAUUUUUUUUAUUUAUUUAAAUUUUCUUUCUCUAUAUGAACUAUACCACACUGUCCUUCUCAUAGAUCACUAAAACUAUCUAAUUAUAGCCUUUCAUGGCACUUAUAUAUGAAAAUUAUUGAAUCUCAAUUCAAUUCCAUUGUUUAGGUGUUUUUUUCCAUAUUAAAUAGGUUUUUUUUAUUCUAAUAAAAAAUACAGUAUUUUAAUCAAAUAAUAAAAAAUAAAGAAAAAAAUUAUGAAGGCACCAAUCUAAUACAACGAAUUAUUAAAUUAUAUUUUUAAUUUCUAAAAUUGUCAAACCGUCCUUAAUUUUUUUAUUUUGGUAAUGUUAAUUAUGUUUCUUAUGGAAUAAAAUAACACUAUUUUGAUAAUGGUGUUUUCUUCUUGCUCUUUUUCUAUUUCUUAUUUUUUUAUUUUUAAAUAUCUUUAGUUAUCAUUAUAGACUUGUCAAAGCUCGUGGCUAAGUUGGAGAAGCAAAGUUUUGUCUAUUUUAAAUUUAAAUUUGAAAGUGAUACAUAUAAUAUUUAACUAUUUUAUUAUUUAUAAUACAUAUUAUUUUAUUUUUAAUAUAUUAUUUAGUUUUUUUAUUAGAUUAAUCUGUUUAAUCAUAUAAAGUUAUAAUCAAAUUUUAAAAUUUUUUCAACCUUCGUAUGUGAUUGCGUUGGUGUAUUGAGAAAAUACAAAAGAAAUAUAUUGUGAUCAUUUAAGUCGUGUUGAUAUAUAUAUAUAUAUAUAUAUAUAUAUAUAUAUAUAUUUUUGAGAGAGUUCAUUUAUUUCAUUUAGAAAUAAACAUGGCUGGAAAUAUGAAUUAACUAGGAUUCGAACUUGGAUUUCGGGUAUCAACCAUCAAAUCCUUUGCCACUUGCUCUAGAGACAGUCGGUGUGUUGAUAAAUAGUUACUGUUUAUUUUCUAUGAUUUUAUUUAAAAAUACAGAAAAUUUUUUUGCCCCUGUUGAUUUUAGACAAUAGACUUUUAUAAAAUUUAUGAUUAUUUCUUUUUUCAGCACCACAAUCAUAAUGGCCCACAAAGCAACUUCUCGCCAAAACCUGUGCCCACGUGGCUAUUUCCGCAACCUUAAUAAAAAAAUUUAUUUGAUUGGUUAGAAAAUAGGGAUAAUUACCUUAUAUACCAAUCAAAAUUUCAAAAAUAUUUUAUUUACUUUUUUUUUCUUUUCAAUAUAUUCCUUAUAUGUUCCUCCGUUAUUUCAAAAAACUCAUACAGUUAUCGCUUAUCACCCGUUAAGUUAACUUGAAUUAAACAUGAAUUAAAUAUUUACCACAGUUCAAAAAAAUUAAAAUGCCACUUUUGUCCUAACUUAAGGGCAAAUAAGAAAUAUUGUGAUGAUAGAAGGGUAUAUUUGAAAAUACCAAAAAGCAAAAUAGGAUAUAUAAGAAAAGUCGGUGAUGAUAGAAAAAUAUAUUUAAAAGGACAAAAUUGUAAUUUUACAGAAAUAAUAGAGUUCAUUAAUAGAUUAGGUUGGAACAUAAAAAUGUUAUUUUUAAUAUUAGCCUUUUAAGAGGAAUAAACCAGAAAGUCGAAAUUUUUUCAGAAAUAUAUAAACAAUUCUCCUUAGAAAAUAAUAGGAUGCAAAUGGGACGUAUUCGGAGGCGGAAGGAUUUCUCUACCUUCCGCUUUAUUUUUUUGUAGAGACGGGACGGAUUCGGAACAGAUUAUUUUUUAUUUUUUUUUUGGCUAUCCCUUACGGCCCAUUCGGAACGGAUCGGACGGGCGGAUUUUUAAGGGAUCAGGACAGAUUGGAGAAAGAAACGGAUCUUUCAUUUUUCGCUUUAUUUAUUUGACGGAUUCGAAACGAAUUCGAGACAAAUUAUAUUUUUCUAUAUUUUUUAUUCUUACUUACUGAUUAGGAUCGGACGGAAGUUCUAUCAAUCCGAAUUCAUUUGCAUUCUUAAAUAUUAAGAACACCGUAUCACCAACAUAGAAGGUGCAUUCUAAAAUUUGUCCCACGUCAGCGCCGCGGGGAAGGAGCCGUUCUUAUAAUCUCCAACGUGCUCCUCCGCUCUUUCCCGAUUUAUUCCCCGAUAAAAAAAUAUUACUUAAAAAUAAUAAAAUAAAUAAAAUAAACCACCCAAAAAUUAACGGAUACGGAAAUAUUAUCCUCCCCAUUUCGAGCAUUUAUUUUUAUUUUAUUUUAUUUCAUGUUUUCUCUCGCACUUUCUCUCUCCUCUCAGUUGCCUUUCCCCUUCCCCCUCUCUCUCCUCAUGCUACAGAAAAAUUAGGGUUUUGAUUCGCCUGGUGCUGUUCUAGGGUUUCGUCUGAGCGCUAGGAUUUGCUAUUUAUUUGAUGAGAUUCUGGAAAUGCUGGAUUUGUGGAAUUAGGGUUUCUUUUUCUCCCUAAUUUUGUUCGGAACUUAGUGUUCUUGUUGCUAAAAAAAGGUCGCAUUUUGCUGGGAUUUGUUUGUGAUUCCAUGUUGUUGUCAACUUCUACGGAUUGUUUUGGUUGGAAUGCGUGAUUUAUGAGGGGUCCUCUGCGAUUCUGUGGAGGAUCCCGUCGCAGGAGGCAGCUAAUAGCGCUAAUUAGGGUUUUUUUUACUUUUGCUUUGGGGCUAGAGGUUGUGUUGGGAAGGGGCAUUUGGUAGGAGAUGGUUGUUCUUGGUGAAGAGUAGUGGUUUUGAUCAUAUGAGCUAAUCGGAAGAAGAGGGAAAGUGUUUGCGGGCCAUUUUUUUGGCAUUUAAUUCUAGUGGACAUUUACACAUCUGGGAUGGAUCUUUCUCACGAUACAAGUGGCAUGGUACUGAUUCCAACACGGUUUGUGUGGCCUUAUGGGGGGAGAAGGGUCUUUCUCACUGGCUCCUUCACUAGGUUAGAUCUGAUUGUUUGCUGUUUCCACUCUCUGUCUAUUGCAUGUUGUCGGUUUUGUCGGUAAAUUUGCAAAACGUGUCAAAUGAAGUUGAGCUAUAUGCUUAAUCUGGUAUCUUUAUCCAAGGAAGUGAAAAAAAAAAGUUUUUUCUUUUCAACUUUUCUUUUUCAAAUGUCAAAUGUUUGGGUGCAAUACUGUCUAAUGUAAUUCUGUUGAUUGUCUAGUUUUGUCGGUCCAAUAUGGAUACCUAUUUUACUGAUAUUACUACAUACCUAUAUACCUUUAGGUGGAGUGAACACAUACCAAUGUCCCCGGUAGAGGGUUGCCCUACUGUAUUUCAGGUUAUCUGUAGCUUGACACCCGGCAUUCACCAGGUUAGAUUAUGGUUUGCUUCUUAACAAUACUGGCUUUGUUAUACUCUUCGUUUAUCAAUAUUAUUAUAAUCUAAAAUUUGAAAAGAUUGAUGCAAUGAACUUUACAUGCUCUAUGAAUCCUUUAGGUGCUUCACUGGUUUCUUACUUGGAUAAUUUAAUUAUUUCUUCAACGGAAUGUAUAAGUAUUAAAUAUCAGUUGCACACAUACUUAAUGUCAGUUGCACACAUACUAAAAUGACUGCUUCCUUUAUUAUACGUAUAAUCUGGCUGUGGAAGUAUUAUUGUUCCGUCUGUCUCUUUCCCUUUUUAACUCAUUAUUUUGAAGCCUUGUGCAGUACAAGUACUUUGUUGAUGGAGACUGGAGGCAUGAUGAGCGGCAGCCUCAUGUGACAGGAAGUUAUGGGGUUGUGAACACUUUGCUUCUUACCCAGAGCGCUGAUCAUUUACCUGCAAUUUCAAACCCCGAGUCCCCUGGAAACAGAAUGAAUAUGGAUGUAGAUAGUGAAAAUUUUCAACGAGUGGUAGGUUUGCACUCUUGUUUUAGAGAUCAUGCAUAUGUUAAUGUCCUCUAUUCAUAUAUAUAGAGGCCUAUAUUUGCAAAUGAUUUAUUAUGCUCGUCCGAAAUGUAUUUAUGGUUUGGAUUGUAAUCCUGCAUACCUUUAAUUAGUCAGAAAUUUUGAGAGGGAUUUCAAUGCACUAACUUUGUUCUGUCUAACAAAAGAAAAAACAUAUUUACUAGAAUGAGUAGAGGAUACUUUAAUAAUAUGCUAUAUGGGACAAAUUUUAUAUUUUGUGCUUAUUUUUGUAGAGCAAGUUGUGUAUGCUCAUAUGCUUAAUAAUCUAACGGUUCUGUGUUGUUUGACGAGGAUGUGGCAACAUACAUGAGCGAUCACUUUAUCUAUAAUGGAGGAGUUGGAAUUCAAUGGACCGGAUUGUAAUAAUUUUUGAGUUACUUGAGUUGUGCAAUAACACAUAGAAAUGCACACCCACUUCUAUCUUUCCCACUCACAUUCACUGCAUGGACAUAUACCCUUAUCUUCCAACAUCCUCUUCUUGUUCUUUUGUUGUGGUGCAUUCUGUUGUUAACUUUUUACCAUAGUACCAAUAUUUUGGACGUUGUCUUUCUAGGGAUUCUGACUUCUGAGCAAUGUAGGAUAUUUGGUCCUUUUUUUUUGUUUGAUAAAAGCAGGUCAAAAUAUUAGAUGGUCCACUACAUGAGACACAUCUUAGCAUUCCAGAGGCUGAGGCAGCAUUCUUCUUUCAACGAAUUUCAACAUUCUUGUCAGAGCAUACUGCUUAUGAGUUGCUUCCGGAUUCUGGGAAGGUGCAUUGAUUUGUUUUUUUUUAAAGCAGCCACUGUGUAUGUUUAGUGUCUUGUAUAUACACUUUAUCUUAAGGCUGCUUAGUCUUUGCUUUCUGUUAUUUACCCCUCAGUUUUUGGUUCUGACUGUAUUUUGUCCUGUCCAGGUGAUUGCUCUCGAUGUCAAUUUGCCUGUAAAGCAAGCAUUUCAUAUUUUGUAUGAGCAGGUACUCAAAAAUCAUUGUGAUUGAAUUUAAUUUGGAGUACCAUAACUUUAGCUUUACGCACUGGUCAGAAUAAUCCGAAUUACAUGUGACUUCCAUUGGCGAAGUGUUAUUUGCAAACGUGACUGUUUAUAGUAUUGCUUAACGUGACAGUUUAUAGUAUUGCUUUUAAUGACGAUAUCCUAGUUGAAUCUAGAUGGUACUAUAUUAAUGGUUCAAACCAAGAGUCUUAAUGUGAUACUGCAACAUGAUAUUCAUUCAACACGAUUCAAAAGAAAAUGAAAUAAUACCGACUUGGUGAUUCUUGUGAUCUCUCAGUUCUUUUGAUAGCCUAGUUAAUUGUGGAUCUCCUAAUAUUUUAAUUUCCAAGUGCUUUUUGUUCGGUUUGGAACUUUAUUCGGAUAAACUUGUCCUUUUGAUAUUUGUUGAUUUUGCUAUCUCUUUCUGUUGCAAUGCCAUUUGUUGGUGAAAGGAUAUUCCCUCAUAAGUACAACUUGAGAGAUGGAUGGUCCUAAGGAAAUAUACUUUAAAUUCAAGCACUGUUGUAAGUGUCUCCUGCAGAUUGGAGAAUAUAAAGUUUUUGGUGAUUCAGUAGACAUGAAAAAUAUGGGGGAAAAAAAACAAAACAGGAAAGGAGGAAAUAAAGGGAGGAGGCCUGAACUAUUGUUUUAGUGUUUUAAGCUACCAACUUACCAUAACUAGUUCUUAUUUGCACAGUAGAGAUCAAUUUGUCAGGGUCACUACUAUUUUAAGUGCAUAAAUAUGCUUCGUUUCUAAAGAGAGAAAUAUUUACAGGGAAUCCCUGUUGCUCCUUUAUGGGACUCAAGAAUGGGCCAAUUUGUUGGAGUGCUCAGUCCUCUGGAUUUUAUACUCAUUUUGGAAGAGGUAUAGUCCUUUGUAAUUUAAUCCUAAUGUUUUCUGUUUUUGUCCAGCAUAUUCUUUUAUUUAGGUUCUUAAACAUCUAAUACGAGCAAAUUGUGCAUGGUUGGUUCUUUGCAUGUGCAAGUCUUUAUUUGUGGACCCAAAACUAGUGGGCUAAUAUCAAUCCUCCUUUUGGUGAUUAUAUUAUCUGUUGCUACAUAUUUCUUGCACAAUUUCUUAUGUUCUUAAUGUUGCAAGCAUGACCAAGUAUGCUGCCUGGCUCUUUAAUAUGUUUUUUCUGUUGAAUUCAAUGGUUUGACAAGAAAAUUUCCACUCAUUGCCACUUUGUUGGCUGCUGCAAAGAUUUGAAAGUGGUUCAGUUUUUCCAGCCUAUAGUGAUACGAGUAUUUAAGUGCUGGAAAUAGGAAAUUUUGAUUGGAAAAAUCAAUCUGCUUUAUAGCUAUAUUCCAUUGUAUUCAUGUACUUUGCGUCAGUUGUCCUCUACAAACUAUCUGCAUAUCUAUUUGCUUGUUGUGCAAUUACUAUGUGAGAUGAUGUAAUUUGUCCAUCUUAUAUAUUCCUCAAGAAGCUUUCUCUUUCUUCUAGUCUUUAUCUUUAUCUAUAGAACAUUCAAGGAUUCUUCUCGAUUUGUAGAUUUACAUGGGCCAGAACCUAAACUGCAACCUUUAAGGUAGAUUACCAUAUCCUGCGAAUGACUUUAUAAUAUUUCCGGUUGGCAUUUCCGUUGCCUUUUUUUUGCUUUGCUUUAACUUUAAGAACGAUUUCUGGAGUUUUGAUUUUUUAUUGAUUGAUUUCCAUAAUGAACCAUUUGCUUCGACUUUAAGAACCAUUUUUGGAGGUUUGAUUUUUUAUUGAUUGAUUUGCAUAAUGAACUUGUCAUUUCGUGGUGGCUUUUGAAACUUCGAGUUGUGCCUUAGUUUAUUGUACAUAUGGGGACUAUCUUAUAUAUGUGAAAUAAGGUGUGGGUGAUUUAAUGAUUGACCUGCCUUCAUCUUCUUCCACCAUCUUCUCAUCUUCUUCAUUGUUUGCUUGUUUUUUUUUAUUUUUUUUCCUUUUUUAUUUUCACUCUGAGUUUUUGCAAUUUUUAUUUAAUUGCAGCUUGGUAAUCAUGGCUCAAAUCUGACAGAGGAAGAGCUUGAGACCCAUACGAUAUCUGCUUGGAAAGAGGCAAAACAGCAUCUUCUUAGGCAAAUGAAUCCACACACACAGGCAUCCAGCAGGAAUCUGAUUCACGUGAGAUCUUUGCUCUUACUAUUUUCGCUAUUGUAGUUACUUUCUUCAUACUCAGAUCUUUUAUUAGUCUAUUGCCUUUCGUGUGCCUAUGUGGAAUUCUAUGUGCAAGGAUCCUACAAAUUAUUGGGAGAUAUAUUUGGAUGUUGCGGACAAUUCAAAAUUCCGUUUGAUUUAAUGUUGGUACCUAGAAAUUUAAGUUCUGUUUUGUUUCUUUACCUGCCAUAUGUGGAACUCUUAGUGCUUUGUAAGAAGCUGUCUUUGCUUUCUCUCUUUUUUCCAUUUUUGGAUUACUUGGAAAAUUAAGUUUGCUCCUCAUUUGUGCCUCCCUAUUUAUUGGCAUUCCAAAAUGUUGUAAUCAUUGGUGUCUCAAUGUUGCUCAGACAGAACGGUUGACUGCAAUAUUAAAUGAAGUAAAGAGACAGAUUUUUAAAGCUGAGUUUGCAAUCUGUUUGCAAAGGGAUGAAAGCCCAAGGGGUGUCUAUACGUAUAUCCCAUUCUAUCUAAAGUGCCAUCUUUGGCCAUGCAGGCUGGUCCAUAUGAUACACUGAAAGAAGUGGCGUUGAAGAUUCUGCAAAAUGAGGUCGCCACACUUCCAAUCAUUCAUUCAUCAUCACCUGAUGGGUCCUUUCCUCAGUUACUGCAUCUUGCAACCUUAUCAGGAAUACUGAAACGUAAGUUUUGACCUUCAUUAUGUUGAGUAUUAUCAGUCACACUUAACCUGGGAAAUUUUUUUUUUGUGGCGUAUACCUUUGUUUUGAGCACGAAUUCUUAGUUGCGGUUUAAAACUUUUCAGGUAUUUGCCGGUACUUUAGACACUCUUAUAAUUCAUUGCCUAUUCUUCAACAACCAAUAUGUAACAUUCGUUUGGGUACAUGGGUCCCACAAAUUGGAGAGUCAAGCAGAAGGCCAUUGGCAAUGUUGAAACCAAAUGCAUCACUACGCUCUGCCUUGUCUCUGUUAGUACAAGGUAGAUUCUAUGUGCGCUAUAUUAUUAAUUGCAAUUAUAUCUUGGACAGUAUGUUGUUGUUAUCACUGUUUGGCGGUAUGCUAUCGUUUUGUCUUUGUUUCUCUAGCUUUUGGCAAUUUACAUCUCAUAGUUGAUUAUCUGUAAGCGGAUAUUGUAGUGGAGCAUUCACACCGCAGAUCAAUUUUUGCCAUAAAAAUCAGAAAAGCCUACUAACUUAUCUAGCCAAAGUUGCUUGCUCAAAGGAAGAAGAGAGAAGUAAAGAUGUUUUUAACUAUUUUUUCCAGAGUAUUAUCAAAUUCCAUCUUGUCUCUUUGGAAUAGCCAUCGUCUUUAAUUACGUCUGACUUAUGUUGCUGUUUUAAUCGGUCUUCACAGCUCGGGUUAGUUCAAUACCCAUAGUUGAUGAAAAUGACUCUUUGCUGGAUACGUAUUCCAGAAGGUAAGUUAUUUUGUAUCUCAAAUCAUUGUGCGAUUGGUGAAUUGCUAUUGCUUCUUUUUUUUUCUGAUUUUGUUGUUAUUCUGGGUACAGCGACAUCACUGCUUUGGCCAAAGACAGAGCUUAUGCGCAUUUUCACAUUGACCAAAUGGCUAUUCAGCAGGUUAACAUCUCUAGUGAUUUUAGCUAUUUACUGUUUUUCUGCCACCUGUUUUGUCGUUCUCUACCUAUAUUUUGAUAAACUUUAGAAGCAAGAGUGUGACAAGAUGUAAUUUUGACAUCAAGGUAGUUUGAGUAGACAUUUUUCGGUAUUUGAAUCUGAUAAAGCUUGUUUAUCCGCAUAAGUAGAGUAAAUUUCUAAUUUUUGUCUCCUCACAAAAUUCAGGCUUUGCAACUUGGACAAGAUGCAAAUUCUCCUUACGGGUUCUUCAAUGGGCAACGAUGUCAAAUGUGUCUUCGAACUGAUCCACUGCGCAAAGUAAUGGAGAGACUGGCGACUCCUGGUAAUAUAUUAUCUCUAAAAUGUUUCAGCCAAAGCUUGCACAUUACUUGGCAAUAUAUAUCCAUACAAAGUGUGAAUUUUCAUAUUUACCCUUCAUGAACUUAAAUCCUUGCGUAUCUUUCCUAACCUUUACCUAAUACAAAACCAAUUCCCUUUGCAUGAGUUGGAUUAUUUCCCUAUUGUGGAAGCAAGCACUUUCAAGUGUUGCAUAUGAAAACUCGGAUUUCACAGGGGUAUACAUGUGGAUUGAUGAUUUUUCGAGGAUACAAAUGUACCUAUUUUUACAAAGCCUGGCUUGAGAUUCACCCGUUUCUUGAAUCAGGUGUCCGCCGCGUAAUCGUCGUGGAAGCCGGGAGCAAGCGCGUCGAGGGGAUUAUUUCACUCAGCGAUGUUUUCAGAUUCUUGCUUGGAUCGGCUCAAGCAUCCCCAACCAAUGCUUAGGCCACGAAUUGAAUUAUUUGUUUUGCAUCAUCACUUCUUUUUUUUUCCUUCUUUUUUCUCCUUUUUCAGUUCUCCUUUCUUUUUUCUUUUACCGCAAAAGAAAAAGGGGGAGAGGCCUCAUUAGUGGAGGGCCAAGCAAUGUUUUACUGUAAAGGCUACGUGAGAGGCCUCUGUAUAUGGGAGGGAUGGAUAUUCUUUUUCUUUUUUCACUUAAAUUUUUUUAAUAGUGGUCCCAAAUUCUCGUGUAUUUAAGAAAUUGGCAAUUUCACAAUGCUACUAAAUGGUACUCUCUGAUAAAAGGAGGGUUAGAAUCACUAUAUUAGAGUGAGAUCAUCCAUUGUUGCUUAACUCAUAUUCAGUGCAUGGAAUCAUCUUAGAGGUAAAAAUACUAUUCAUGCGCACUCUAGCAACAUUUAUGAAAGGAACCGAUCAUUCUUAGCAUAAGCAGCAAAAGAUUCGAUUUAUCAUCUGCGUUGGUGAUGGUCAGUAGAGAAAUAAAUAUUUGAUGUGAUGUUUGUGUAACAUUAUAAGCCUCUGACAUGAUUAAACCCUUUGAAAUUAGUGAUGACUUUUAUUGAGUGGAGUUGAGCAUCGACAUGAUUAACUCCUUUAAAAAUCAAUAGUGAUGAUAUUUCUUGAGUGGAGCUGAGCAUCUUACGUUGCAGGAAAAACACAUUGAUUUGGUCUCGCAUGCUUUAUUUUUUUGUUCUAUUUCCCUUUCUUCUGAGAUCAAUUAUGGGUGUUAAAUAACACAACAUGUGUUAUUUAAAUUUUCUCAUAGUCAUAACUCAAUCUCAGCUUGGGACAAUGAAGAUAUGUUGUAACAUGUAACACCUAAAUUUAUUAAGUUAAGAGAUUUUUGUCUACGUCACCCUCCAUUUCUUUUUUUGCAAAAAAAAAAAAAAAAAAGCUCCAGUAAAACCAAACAGGCCUGUAAAAAGGUAACAAAUAUGUCUCAUAUUAAAAUUUAGCAGAUUCGAUAAAGUUAAAGAUUACAGAGUUUGAAUUUGCACGAAAAAGUUGGAGCGGUGAUUAGACAUCAUAUACGGGAUGCGAAAGAAUUAUGCGAUUUAUGGUACGAAUAUUGAAUGGGUGGUUAGUAGGUUGCGAUGUCGAUGUCGGGGUUCUUUGAUCAUCAUGAUUAUACUAACUAGUUUGGUUUCCACUCUCUAUUAUUUAGCUCAAUAAUGGGACGGAGAUAGUGUGUUUUUCGACAUAAACCCCUUUUAGUCAACGGCCAUAAACCUCCGUACCAUUUUCUAUUUAUAUGUUUACAUCCGAUUAGGUCACACAAAUUGUUUUUUAUACCUGAAUCCAACUGAAAUACUAUUAAUAACAGUAAAAUAAUAAUACUUGCUUUUAAUUAUUUAGCCCUUAGAUUCAUAGUGUUUAAGUGGUAAAUACUAAACCUUUACUNUAAAUAUAUAAAUAACUUAGCUGGGCUAAAAUAUUAUUGAUAGUAAAGGUUUAGUAUUUACCACUUAAAUACUAUUAAUAACAGUAAAAUAAUAAUACUUGCUUUUAAUUAUUUAGCCCUUAGAUUCAUAGUGUUUAAGUGGUAAAUACUAAACCUUUACUAUCAAUAAUAUUUUAGCCCAGCUAAGUUAUUUAUAUAUUUAUAUUUCCUUACCUAAUUAUGCCUAACUCACUAAUUGAUAUUAUUAUUCAUAGAGUUAAAUUGACUACCCCAAUAAGACCUAAAAGAUGUAGCAUAGCACUAAACCAUGGGGCCUAACUUUAAUAUUUUAAUGUUAUGCCAAUAUAUAUUUCAUUGAAUACGCCAUAUCUUUUCCCCUGACUAUAAAUAGCAAAAGUUCUUUAUUUUUAAAUUUUAUUUUAUUUUCCCUAUGUUGGUAUUAAGCAAACUAAAUUAACCAUUAAUGAACAUAAUAAUCUUCAAAACAAUUUUAAAAAGUAGCUGCUAAGUGUUUAGUAAGGCGAUUACUACCGCCAAAAGCUUUAAAUCCAAUGAUUAAGUUUCAAUGGAAGUGGUUUUUAAUUUUUUUAACUUCAUCUUUUAACUGCUACGAUAUACCACACCUAGUUUUUAAAAAUUAAUAUCAUAAAAUUAAAAUCUAAUUUAAUAAUUAUAUUAUCAAAAAUAUUGAAAAUUAUAAAAUUUUAUUAUCAAAGACAAAGAAAUGACUAUAAAUCUCCAAAAUUUAUAUAUAUUUUUUAUAUAAUUUUUUGAUUAAUUUCAUACAUGUUCCUGCAAAUAUAGUGAAUUGCAAAUAUAUCGAUACAAAGUUCAACUUUCAUAUGUUGUCCCUACAAAAGUCCUGAUGUUUUCAAAUAUGUCCCUAUCGUUAGAACCCGUUAGAAAAAUUUAGGUAAUCAUAGGUUAAAUACUUAACUAUAGUUAGUUAAUGAGGUGAAUUGACCUUUUUAUCCCUCUUCAAUCAAGUUGGGACUUUUGGAGGGAUAUAUUUGUGAUAACAAAAAAAUCAUUUCACUUAUAAAAUGGACAAUGCUUUAACGAUAACAGAUCAGAUAAGCAUAUUUGAAAAUAUUAGGACUUUUGAAAAAAUAGCAUAUAAAAAUUAAAUUUUAUAGGAAUAUAUUUAUAAUUCAUUAUGUUAGUAGGACGUAUACAAAAUUAAUCUUAUUUUUUAAUAUGUAAAAUCUUUAUCAUAUAAGUUUUUUAAGGAUAUAUGGCGUGGUCGCGGGCCCCACCCUUGCGUCUCCCUCGAAGCCCAACAAAAAACCGCGGGGCCCACAUCCCAAUAGGCUCAAACGUGGGGCCCACAUCCCAAAAGGCUCCACGGUUCACAUAAUAGUUAGGCGCAUCAGGUGCACCGUGCACCACACUACUUUAAAAAAAAUAAUAAUAAAUUCCUAUCAUUAAAAAUUCUUAGAGAUAUCACAAAAAAAAAAAAAAAUAAAAAAAAAAUCUUAAAAGCCAAAAUUUAGUUCGCUUCAUAUACUUUAUGAUAUUUUUUAAAGGAUCUAUAACAUAUUUAUGAUUACCAUAUAUUGGGUGUGGUGCAUGAGUUGUAUCCAUACACCUGGUGCACGCAGUGGUGCAUAUAGUGAUGUCAUGUAAUUGGAGCAUUUUGAGGUAGGUACGUUAUUGGGUAUAUUUUAAAAAGCAUUAUUGGUGAUGUGGGCGCCCACACGCGCACAAAAAAUCACACGGUUCCCACGCGGGGUAAUUGCCACGAUCAGGUCAAUCUCAGCCGUCCAUUUUAGUGGACCUACCUCGCACGACUCUCUCACUCCCAUGACGUACCGCUAACGGUGACGCUAACGUCCGCACAAACGGAACGGCCGUUUUCGCAGUUAACCCCCGAAAUAUAUUUAUUUCUUGAAAUUAGUCCUUGGGAUCCCGUCACCGCCUAUUAUUUAUUUCUCACUUUUUUUCUUUUUGAAUAUAUAUAUAUAUAUAUAUUAAGUUGAGCUGGAAUGCUAUUGGUAAUAAACGGGCUAUGUUGGCAUCAAUUUAUUUUCGAUAAUGGAGUAUCCAAAUCGACGAUCGACAUAGCUAAAUAUGAUUUAUACCACGUGAAACAUCAAAUUUUAUGUUUUUUCGAUAUUUCUCUCUUGUCCAUUAAGUGGAUACGAAAAUGAACGACUGAAAAAAUAUCUUUUAAAAAGUGAUGAUUGAAAUUCUAUAAUCAAGACCAAGAGUAUAAUUAUUAUUUUAAAGAGUUUAAAAAAUUUUCUAACCAAAAUUAAACUGAUUUGGAUAUUUUUACGCCACUAAACAAGAAAUGUCUCAUAUCGACAGUUAAAAUUAUAAAAUUUGAAAAUAUUUGAUCAUUAGGUCAAUGAUAUCGAAAAGAUUUAAAUUUUGAUUUUUAGAUAUUUCAAGUGGUAUAUAUUAUAUUCAACGAUGCCGAUCGUUGACUUGAAGAUUGGAUCAUCGAAAAUAGAUAAGUGGCAAUGGAGUCUGUUUGUUACAGAUUGCAUUCUAGCUCAACUCUCUCUCUCUCUCUCUCUCUCUCUAUAUAUAUAUAUAUAUAUAUAUAUAUAAGAGGGGAAACUAGAAUUAAGUGGGAAUUUCACAAUAUUUUUUUUGUUCCUAGAGAAUUUAUAAAUUAUUGAUUUUUGAUUUUGAAAUAAAAUAAUUUGAAACUAAUAUAUAAGCUAUUAAUUAAUUAACUAAUUUAAGAAUUUGGUACAUUUUUUUAAUGCCAUUAGUAGAAUACUAAUCUUGCAAGAAAUAAAAAUUGAUCAAAAACUUUAAUUGUA
rnacentral:lncRNA from 1 species